ACUUGUUCUUUAAAUGAGGACUAGUAUGAAUGGCACCACGAAGGUUAUGCUGUCUCCUUUUUCUAAUCAAUGAAACUAACCCCCCCGUGAAGAGGCGGGGAUUAAAGCAUAAGACGAGAAGACCCUAUGGAGCUUUAAACUAUAUAGCACUAGCCCUACAACCCGUGUUCCAGAAAAAUAAAAGGUACCCCGGCUACUAUGACUAUCAGUUUUAGGUUGGGGUGACCGCGGAGUAUAAAAUAACCUCCACAUUGAAUGGAACCAUCCUGAGCAAAAAACCACAGCUUUAAGCACCAAUAAAUUGACAUUAAUUGACCCAGUAUUCUGAUCAACGAACCAAGUUACCCUAGGGAUAACAGCGCAAUCCACUUCAAGAGCCCCUAUCGACAAGUGG
rnacentral:rRNA from 1 species